rnacentral:rRNA from 1 species
GCAUAUCAAUAAGCGGAGGAAAAGAAACCAACAGGGAUUGCCCUAGUAACGGCGAGUGAAGCGGCAACAGCUCAAAUUUGAAAUCUGGUCCUUUCAGGGCCCGAGUUGUAAUUUGCAGAGGAUGCUUCGGGUACGGGUGCCUACUGAGUUCCCUGGAACGGGACGCCAUAGAGGGUGAGAGCCCCGUCUAGUAGGAUACCCAGCCCAUGUGAAGCUCCCUCGACGAGUCGAGUAGUUUGGGAAUGCUGCUCUAAUGGGAGGUAUACUCCUUCCAAGGCUAAAUACCGGCUGGAGACCGAUAGCGCACAAGUAGAGUGAUCGAAAGAUGAAAAGCACUUUGAAAAGAGAGUCAAAUAGCACGUGAAAUUGUUGAAAGGGAAGCGCUCGCUACCAGACUUGAGUUAGGCGGUUCAACCGGGGCCACGCCCCGGGGCACUCCACCUGCUCAGGCCAGCAUCAGCUUUCCGUCGGGGGCAAAGGCGUCGGGAAUGUGGCUCUCCUCCGGGAGAGUGUUAUAGCCCGGCGUGUCAUACCCUUCGGGGGGCUGAGGUACGCGCUUCUGCAAGGAUGCUGGCGUAAUGGUAGCUAGUGACCCGUCUUGAAACACGGACCAAGGAGUCAACCUUAUGUGCGAGUGCCCGGGCGUAAAACCCCAGCGCGGAAUGAAAGUGAACGUAGGUGAGAGCUUCGGCGCAUCACCGACCGAUCCUGAUGUCCUCGGACGGAUUUGAGUGAGAGCAUAUAGGGUUGGACCCGAAAGAAGAUGAACUAUGCGUGUGUAGGGUGAAGCCAGAGGAAACUCUGGUGGAGGCUCGCAGCGGUUCUGACGUGCAAAUCGAUCGUCAAACAUGCGCAUGGGGGGCGAAAGACUAAUCGAAUCUUCUGGUAGCUGGUUUCCGCCGAAG